GAUGAACGCUAGCGGGAGGCCUAAUACAUGCAAGUCGAACGGUAACAGGUAGCAAUACGCUGACGAGUGGCGCACGGGUGCGUAACGCGUACACAAUCUGCCUUAUACUGGGGCAUAGCCUUUGGAAACGAAGAAUAAUUCCCCAUAACAUAUAGAAGAGGCAUCUCUUUUAUAUUAAAGCUCGAGGCGGUAUAAGAUGAGUGUGCGUCCGAUUAGGUAGUUGGUGAGGUAACGGCUCACCAAGCCAACGAUCGGUAGCUGGUCUGAGAGGAUGAUCAGCCACGACGGGCACUGAGACACGGGGCCCGACUCCGUACGGGAGGCAGCAGGUAGGGAAUAUUGGACAAUGGGCGCAAGCCUGAUCCAGCCAUCCCGCGUGAAGGAUGAAGGUCCUCUGGAUUGUAAACUUUCUUUUCUUCGGGAAAUAAAACGUGGGUUCUCCUCAGCUUGAAGGUACCGAA
rnacentral:rRNA from 1 species